rnacentral:rRNA from 1 species
UACGUAGGCAGCAAGCGUUGUUCGGAGUUACUGGGCGUAAAGGGUGCGUAGGUGGCUCUCUAAGUAUGGUGUGAAAUCUCCCGGCUUAACUGGGAGGGUGCGCCGUAGACUGUGGGGCUAGAGUGUGGGAGAGGAAAGUGGAAUUCCUGGUGUAGCGGUGAAAUGCGUAGAUAUCAGGAGGAACACCGGUGGUGUAAACGGCUUUCUGGACCAUAACUGACACUGAGGCACGAAAGCGUGGGUAGCAAACAGG